GAUGAACGCUGACAGAAUGCUUAACACAUGCAAGUCAACUUGAACUUCGGUUUGGGUUGCGUACGGGUGAGUAACGCGUACAGAACUUGCCUCACAGAUAGGGACACCAUUUGGAAACGAAUGCUAAUACCUGAUAUUAUGAUUAUAUGGCAUCUUAUACUUAUGAAAGCUAUAUGCGCUGUGAGAGAGCUUUGCGUCCAAUUAGCUAGUUGGAGAGGUAACGGCUCACCAAGGCGAUGAUGGGUAGCCGGCCUGAGAGGGUGAUAGGCCACAAGGGGACUGAGACAGGGCCCGUAGGCAAACUGGAGGCAGCAGCGGAGAAUAUAGGACAAUAGACCAAGAGUGUGAUCCAGGAAUUCUGUGUGCACGAUGAAGUUUUUCGGAAAGAAAAGUGCUUUCAGUUGAGAAGAAAAAAAUGACGGUACCAACAGAAGAAGUGACGGCUAAAUACGUG
rnacentral:rRNA from 1 species